CGAAGAAGUAAAAUUCUUUAAGACUUGAUCUCGAAUCAGACAAGACUACCCGCUGAACUUAAGCAUAUCAAUAAGCGGAGGAAAAGAAACUAACAAGGAUUCCCCUAGUAACGGCGAGUGAAGCGGGAAUAGCUCAAAUUUGAAAUCUCACAGGUUCCCUGUGCGAAUUGUAGUUUAAAGAAGUAUUUACGGAGACAACCUAGGCAUAAGUCCUUUGGAACAGGGCAUCAUAGAAGGUGAGAAUCCUGUAUAUGGUCUGGUGUUGUUUCUAUGUGUUAUACUUUCAAAGAGUCGGGUUGUUUGGGAAUGCAGCCCAAAAUGGGUGGUAAAUACCAUCUAAAGCUAAAUAUUGGCGAGAGACCGAUAGCGAACAAGUACCGUGAGGGAAAGAUGAAAAGAACUUUGAAAAGAGAGUUAAAUAGUACGUGAAAUUGUCAAAAGGGAAACACUUGAAACCAGUCUUGUUUGUAGAAUCCCAACUGGCCUAACGGCUAGCAUAUGUUUCUACAGGCAGGUCAACAUCGGUUUCGACUGGAGUACAAAGCUUGAGGAAGGUGGCCUUCGGGUGUUAUAGCCUCAAGUCAUGCUCUGGUUGGGACCGAGGAAUGCAGCUCAGUCUUGGAGACCCGUUCGCCAGUUGAAUUACUUCCUGGACUACUUGUAGAUCAGGGAGGAGCUAAGACUGCUCGGGC
rnacentral:rRNA from 1 species